CCUACGGGUGGCAGCAGUGAGGAAUAUUGGUCAAUGGACGAGAGUCUGAACCAGCCAAGUAGCGUGAAGGAUGACUGCCCUAUGGGUUGUAAACUUCUUUUAUAAAGGAAUAAAACGAGGCACGUGUGCCUUUUUGCAUGUACUUUAUGAAUAAGGAUCGGCUAACUCCGUGCCAGCAGCCGCGGUAAUACGGAGGAUCCGAGCGUUAUCCGGAUUUAUUGGGUUUAAAGGGAGCGUAGAUGGGUUGUUAAGUCAGUUGUGAAAGUUUGCGGCUCAACCGUAAAAUUGCAAUUGAUACUGGCAGUCGUGAGUACAGUUGAGGUAGGCGGAAUUCGUGGUGUAGCGGUGAAAUGCUUAGAUAUCACGAAGAACCCCGAUUGCGAAGGCAGCUUACUAAACUGUGACUGAUAUUGAUGCUCGAAAGUGUGGGUAUCAAACAGGAUUAGAUACCCUAGUAGUC
rnacentral:rRNA from 1 species